AAGAUCAUAUCAAACUUACAGAUAUCUAAACAGCUAAUUCCUAAAAUUCAAAUACUGAAAUUUUAAAAAUUGCGCAUUCAUGUUACUAAACUUGCACUCAUUAUGCAACAGCAAAAGAUUAACAUUAUCAUCCUGUACGAUCAACUACCUUGACAUUUUGUAAGCAAUAUAAAUCAAUAAAUUGAGAUGAUUGGCAGAAACACAAACACCACCUACACUAUACAGACUGACAUGAACAAAUAACUCAAACUAGAAGAGAAGCAGAACAUUACCCUUUGGAAGAAAUUAAAAAAAAUCAUGACUACAACUAAAAAUUGCAUCUCCAUAGAGCUAAAUUUACAUCACACAAUAAAACAAUUGCGCAGGACAAACAAAAAACAACUAAGAUUAGUUGUGAAUGUAGAAAUUCACAUGACAAAAAAAGUUAAACUAGAACUAAAGCAGAACACCCACCAACAAAAAUGCAUUGUGAUUUUUACUACUAGUACUAAAAAUACAUUAGUAUGAGCGUGGAGAUAUACAUUUCCAUAAACUAUAUAUAAAUACAUUGUCAUGAACAAAAAAGUUAAAGUAGGACUAAAAGAAAACACCUCCCUAAAUGCAAAAUUCAGAUCCAUUCAUGACUAAUGAAAUUGAGAAUGACAAUAAAACCCAUUUAGGAACACAUUGUUACAUCAAAGUACAGAAUUCAGAUGAACAAAGAACUCAAACUAGAAGUAAAGAAAACAACUACAUUUCCAUCUUAACAGAGCUAAACUUGCACUUCAGAACACAAUGUUACAGGGAAACUACAGAAUUCCCAUGAACAAGGAACUCAAACUAAAAGUAAAUAUACACAGCUAUUGAUGAUAGUACAAUUACAUGAGGAUUUCAACCUAUAUGAACUGCAAACUACCUAACUCAACUCACGCAUAUAAAACUAUAAAAAGUUUUAUACUAAUAAUACUAAAGUUGCACACAUUUCAUAAAAGCAAAAAAAAGAUUCAUAUCAAACUUACAGAUAUCUAAACAGCUAAUUCCUAAAAUUCAAAUACUAAAAUUUUAAAAAUUGCGCAUUCAUGUUGCUAAAACUUGCACUUAUUAUGCAACAGCAAGAUUAACAUUAUCAUCUUGUACGAUCAACUUCCUUGACAUUUUGUAUAAGCAAUAUAAAUCAAUAAAUUAAGAUGAUUGGCAGAAACACAAACACCACCUACACUAUACAGAUUGACAUGAACAAAUAACUCAAACUAGAAGAAAUGCAGAACAUCACCCUUUGGAAGAAAUUAAAAAAAAAUCAUGACUACAACUAAAAAUUGCACCUCCAUGAAGCUAAAUUUACAUCACACAAAUAAAACAAUUGCACUGGACAAACAAAAAACAAGUAAGACUAGUUGUGAAUAUAGAAAUUCACAUGACAAAUAAAGUUAAACUAGAACUAAAGCAGAACACCCACCAAACAAAAAAUGCAUUAUGAAUUUCCAUUAGUAUGAGCAUGGAGAUAUACAUUUCCAUUAACUAGAUAUAAAUACAUUGUCAUGAACGAAAAGGUUAAAGUAGGACUAAAAGAAAACACCUCCCUAAAUGCAGAAUUCAGAAUUCAUGACUACUGAUGAAAUUGAGAAAGACAAUAAAACCCAUUUAGGAACACAUUGUUACGUCAAAUUACAGAAUUCCGAUGAACAAAAAACUCAAACUUGCACUUCAGAACACAAUGUUACAGGAAAACUACAGAAUUCCCAUGAACAAGGAACUCAAACUAAAAGUAAUAUACACAACUAUUGAUGACAGUAUAAUGACAUGAAGAUUUCAACCUAUAUGAACUGCAAACUACCUAACUCAAUUAACACAGAGAAAACUAUAAAAAGGUUUAUACUAAUAAUACUAAAGUUGCACACAUUUCAUAAAAGCAAAAAAAA
rnacentral:lncRNA from 1 species